rnacentral:rRNA from 1 species
AUUGAACGCUGGCGGCAGGCUUAACACAUGCAAGUCGAGCGGUAACAUUUCUAGCUUGCUAGAAGAUGACGAGCGGCGGACGGGUGAGUAAUACUUAGGAAUCUACCUAGUAGUGGGGGAUAGCUCGGGGAAACUCGAAUUAAUACCGCAUACGACCUACGGGAGAAAGGGGGCAACUUGUUGCUCUCGCUAUUAGAUGAGCCUAAGUCGGAUUAGCUAGAUGGUGGGGUAAAGGCCUACCAUGGCGACGAUCUGUAGCUGGUCUGAGAGGAUGGUCAGCCACACCGGGACUGGGACACGGGCCGGACUCCUACGGGAGGCAGCAGUGGGGAAUAUUGGACAAUGGGGGAAACCCUGAUCCAGCCAUGCCGCGUGUGUGAAGAAGGCCUUUUGGUUGUAAAGCACUUUAAGCAGUGAAGAAGACUCUUCGGUUAAUACCCGGAGACGAUGACAUUAGCUGCAGAAUAAGCACCGGCUAACUCUGUGCCAGCCGCCGCAGUAA